UGGGGAAUCUUGGACAAUGGGCGCAAGCCUGAUCCAGCCAUGCCGCGUGAGUGACGAAGGCCUUAGGGUUGUAAAGCUCUUUUGGCGGGGACGAUAAUGACGGUACCCGCAGAAUAAGCCCCGGCUAACUUCGUGCCAGCAGCCGCGGUAAUACGAAGGGGGCUAGCGUUGUUCGGAAUUACUGGGCGUAAAGCGCACGUAGGCGGAUGUGCCAGUCAGGGGUGAAAUCCCGAGGCUCAACCUCGGAACUGCCUCCGAUACAGCACGUCUCGAGUCCGGAAGAGGUGAGUGGAAUUCCUAGUGUAGAGGUGAAAUUCGUAGAUAUUAGGAAGAACACCAGUGGCGAAGGCGGCUCACUGGUCCGGUACUGACGCUGAGGUGCGAAAGCGUGGGGAGCAAACAGGAUUAGAUACCCCGGUAGUCCCUGAGCGGGCUGGCAAGGCGCAU
rnacentral:rRNA from 1 species